UUAUUGAUUAUUAAUUGUCUUUAUUUUUUCAAAUGUGCAGCCUUAUUCAUACUACCUUUUGUUAGAAAAAUGAAAGAAGAGAAGGCAUAGAAAUGAGCUUGGUAACUAGCAUUCUUGUAGGUGGAUUUGCCAAAAUGGAAAAUGUAGACACUUUUGGGUUGCCAUUUCAAUUGUCUUCUUUGUUGCUGCUACAUUAUUUACUCUACUGAAACUUUGUGAUUUAAUCUUCCCCAGGUUGUAAAGUAUAUUUUGGUCUUAGAUAGCCAGCCAAGACCAAUCUGACGGUGGAGAAUUUUCUUUGGAAGACUUGGGUUUCCGAGGGGUCUGCCGCCCUUGAUUUCGGCACCGUUAAGGCUAGAAGAAGAAGAAAGUGGUGGAUCGACGAGAUGGGUAUGUCGCAACAUAGAGUUUCUUGGCUGCUUCACGUUAGAGAGGAAGAGCGAAAUUUUGGAGGUAUAGGAAGAGCGAAACGGAAUUUGAGAGAUAGGAAAUCGCAGGGUUUGAGGAAGACGAAGAAGAGAAGGGGAGAUGAGAGGCAGAGUAAACCGAUCGAGAA